rnacentral:rRNA from 1 species
GACGAACGCUGGCGGCGUGCUUAACACAUGCAAGUCGAACGGAAAGGCCCUGCUUUUGUGGGGUGCUCGAGUGGCGAACGGGUGAGUAACACGUGAGUAACCUGCCCUUGACUUUGGGAUAACUUCAGGAAACUGGGGCUAAUACCGGAUAGGAGCUCCUGCUGCAUGGUGGGGGUUGGAAAGUUUCGGCGGUUGGGGAUGGACUCGCGGCUUAUCAGCUUGUUGGUGGGGUAGUGGCUUACCAAGGCUUUGACGGGUAGCCGGCCUGAGAGGGUGACCGGCAAAAUGGGGACUGGGUUACGGCCCAGACUCCAACGGGGGGAAGCGGGGGGGAUUAUUGCACAAGGGGCGGAGGCCGGAGGAAGAAACGCCGGGGCCGGAAGACGGGCCUUCGGGUGGUAAACGGCUUUCGCCGGUGAGGAGGGGGAGGGACCGGAAAGGGUAAAGGAGGCACGGCUAACUUACGG